rnacentral:lncRNA from 1 species
GGCUUCCUGUUAACUGACUAUCUUUAUUUUUAACUCAAGCAACGUUGGAGCCAUCCCUGCAGUGAAUACACUCAUCAAGAUUCUAUAUCAUUCCUUCCUUGAUGCCUAUCAUUAUUAGAGACAUUUCUCUUCAUUUAUUUAUGAUGCCUAAUACGUCUUUCUGUCCACUUUGUAUUUGUUUUGUUUCUUCUGAAGAUUAAGAUAUGCUUUAAUAUUGGCUUGAUUUGUUUAUCGAAUUUUGAAGAUUUCCUUUGGAAAUAGUGUUAUAUGAAUGCUAUUAUAAAUUGAAUUCCCUCUAAGUAAUCAGGGAGAACGUACUGAUCAAACUAUGUACCAAAUUGUGAAGCAUACUUAUAUUAUCAUGCCUAUGGAUUCAUCACAACUCAUAGGAGACUUAUUAAGAUAUAUUUUGAGAUAGUUUGAACAGUCCAUAAUGAAUUGAAUCAACAUGAAAUUAUUGAUCGGAGAUUGAAGCUGUGAUCAAAGUCAAUAUUCACUUAUUUAAUGAAAUUUAUGAUGCAGAUGGGCAAUAUUCUAUCUCUCCUCCAAAACAUUCUUCAAUGGCACUGUCAUGGUUACCAUCUUGAUUUUCGGUUUCUUAUUUUUUAUGGCCAUUCAACACUGGCCAUUCAACACUGGAUUUUCCUCAUUGAGCAUGAAGAUGUAGCUGAUUAUUUGUCAGCCAAUGAAAAUAAA